rnacentral:rRNA from 1 species
AAUCAAUUCUACGGAAUCCAUCCAUUGUAGAAUGAACAACAAGAUGAUGAAUUAAAACCAAACAAGCAAACCAACACAUUCAUUUAAAACAACAUAAAGGUCAUUCAUAUAAAGUCUCCUCCCAAGGUUCACCGGGAGCCCGGUGGCCUUGGGAGGUUUAGUUCGACAUCACAAAGCUAAGGAGCUCAUCAUACAAAGGAUCCAUCAAAUAAAAAAAGAAAAGAAAAAACUCCCUCAAAGAUGUCGACUAGGGUUGAUGGUGUGGCUCGUUGGAUCCGCGUCGGUGAGCCCUAUGAAGCUUCUCCACGUCUUCCCCUUCUUCUCUCCUUCAAAUUAGCCCAAAAAAUCCCUCCAAAUCCUUCCAAAGGUGAUGAGAAUGGUGUAUGAUGGAGUGGAGGCCGGAUAGAGAACAACCCCCUUCAAAAACCCUUGAAGAAACCUUAUAUAAACCCGAGAGCGUGCGGGUGGCGUGCGGGCCGCCCGCGCGCCCGUGCGCUCUUCUGGCCACCUUGUGCGGCCUGGUGUGCGGGCUGCACACAGGCCGUAUGGCUCUCUGGCCAGGGCGUGCGGCCAGGUGUGCGGCCGCACAGUAGGCCGCACAGCUCACUGGCUGAGCCGUGCGGGCCGCACAGUCGCCGCACACGGCUGAGAGAAAUGGCUCCGUGUGCGGCGCGUCGGCUUCCGGGGUACUCCAAGUCUUCAUUUCUUCUUCAAUCUUCCCCGAAACGACACGAAAACGGUUCGAUCACGCGCACUUGGUCCUCGAAACCCUGAAACGAAAAUAAAAACAUCAAGUGCGCAAAAUGUCAUCUAGAAUUCACAUAAGUUGCACGAAAGUACAAGAACAUUAUCGCUAAAACAUGAUGUAUUUAGGCACUUAUCAGUUACGGUGCCCGACUGCGCGCUAACCCAGAACUCACAAAGGGUGUUGGUCGAUUAAGACAGUAGGACGGUGGUCAUGGAAGUCGAAAUCUGCUAAGGAGUGUGUAACAACUGACCUGCCAAAUCAACUAGCCCCGAAAAUAGAUGGCGCUGAAGCGCGCGACCCACACCCGGCCAUCGAGGCGAGCGGUAUGCCCCGAUGAGUAAGAGGGCACGGCGGCCACCGCGAAGCCCGGGGCGCGAGCCCGGGCGGAGCGGCCGCUGGUGCGGAUCUUGGUGGUAGUAGCAAAUAUUCAAAUGAGAACUUUGAAGGCCGUAGAGGGGAAAGGUUCCAUGUGAACGGCACUUGCACAUGGGUUAGCCGAUCCUAAGGGACGGGGGAGGCCCGUCAGAGAGCGCAUCCGCGUGCGAGCUCCAAAAGGGAAUCGGGUUAAAAUUCCCGAGCCGGGACGUGGCGGCUGACGGCGACGUUAAGGAGUCCGGAGACGGCUUAGCCGGAGGUAGGGUCCAGCGGCCGGAAGAGCACCGCACGUCGUACUUUGUCCGGUGCGCCCCCGGCGGCCUGUGAAAAUCCGGAGGACCGAGUGCCGCCCACGCCCGGUCGUACUCAUGACCGCAUCAGGUCUCUAAGGUGAACAGCCUCUGGCCGAUGGAACAAUGUAGGCAAGGAAAGUCGGCAAAACGGAUCCGUAACUUCGGGAAAAGGAUUGGCUCUGAGGGCUUGGCACGGGGGUCCAAGCCCCGAACCCGUCGGCUGUCGAUGGACUGCUCGAGCUGCAUCCGCGGCGAGAGUGGGCCACCGCGUGCCAGUCGGGGGACGGACCGGGAACGGCCCGCGCGCCGCUCCCACGGCGCAGGGGCCUUCCCCGGGCGUCGAACAGCCGACUCAGAACUGGUACGGAUAAGGGGAAUCCGACUGUUUAAUUAAAACAAAGCAUUGCGAUGGUCCCCGCUGAUGCUCACGCAAUGUGAUUUCUGCCCAGUGCUCUGAAUGUCAAAGUGAAGAAAUUCAACCAAGCACGGGUAAACGGAGGGAGUAACUAUGACUCUCUUAAGGUAGCCAAAUGCCUCGUCAUCUAAUUAGUGACGCGCAUGAAUGGAUUAACGAGAUUUCCACUGUCCCUGUCUACUAUCCAGUGAAACCACAGCUAAGGGAACGGGCUUGGCGGAAUCAGCGGGGAAACAAGACCCUGUUGAGCUUGACCCUAGUCCGACUUUGUGAAAUGACUUGAGAGGUGCAGGAUAAGUGGGAGCCCUCAGGCAGAAGUGAAAUACCACAACUUUUAACGUUAUUUUACUUAUUCCGUGGACUGGAGUCGGGGAUCCGCCCCUCCUUUUCGCUCCAAGGCCGCACAUCUGUUAAAAGAUAACGCAGGUGUCCUAAGAUGAGCUCAAGGAGAACAUAAAUCUCGUGUGGAACAAAAGGGUAAAAGCUCGUUUGAUUCUGAUUUCCAGUACGAAUACGAACUGUGAAAGCGUGGCCUAUCGAUCCUUUAGCCCUUCGAGAUUUGAAGCUAGAGGUGUCAGAAAAGUUACCUGACACGACCUUUUGCGUGCGUACCGCAAGUGCACGGCCUUGUCGAAGUAAUAAAAUACCCUGGUGAGUGGGUAGUCGUAUCCACAGGGAAUAAUGUUCAUAAACAAGUGUUAUCGCUAUUUAGCUAUGAUGGGAAUCGAUGACGAGAAAAGUAUGUAUGUAUAGAUAUAAAAGAAAAUAAAAGAGUGCAAGAAGAAUAAUGAGGGUAGGAGAGGUAAUCGAUAUAACGAUGGGGUACCCGGAUAAAGUUCCCCCUAGGACUAAUGCUUCUAGUGCAAAACUUGUAUUAUGCUCUACAAUUGAUGCCUAUUGAGUCGAGGAUAUCCUUAAACACACGGUCCCAAACCUAAGGUCAACCGUGACUAACCCCAACACUAUGUCCCGGCAUUAGGAUUCACGUCAACCCUUCACUCUAUUGA